UGGGAUAAGCGUUGGAAACGACGUCUAAUACCGGAUACGAGCUGGGACCGCAUGGUCACCAGCUGGAAAGAACUUUGGUCAGGGAUGAGCUCGCGGCCUAUCAGCUUGUUGGUGAGGUAAUGGCUCACCAAGGCGACGACGGGUAGCCGGCCUGAGAGGGUGACCGGCCACACUGGGACUGAGACACGGCCCAGACUCCUACGGGAGGCAGCAGUGGGGAAUAUUGCACAAUGGGCGCAAGCCUGAUGCAGCAACGCCGCGUGAGGGACGAAGGCCUUCGGGUUGUAAACCUCUUUUAGCAGGGAA
rnacentral:rRNA from 1 species